AUCACCUGGGGAUCUUGUUAAAUUGCAGAUUGUGACUCAGGAGGUCUGGAGUGGGGCCCAAGAGUCUGCAUUUCUAACAAGCUCCCAGGUAAUGCCAG
rnacentral:pre_miRNA from 1 species